rnacentral:RNase_P_RNA from 1 species
GAGGAAAGUCCGGGCUACACAGGGCAGAGUGCCGGAUAACGUCCGGGAGGCGAGAGCCUACGACAAGUGCAGCAGAGAGCAAACCGCCGAUGGCCCGCAAGGGAUCAGGUAAGGGUGAAAGGGUGCGGUAAGAGCGCACCGGGCCGCCGGUAACGGUUGGCAGCAGGGUAAACUCCACUCGUAGCAAGACCAAAUAGGAAUCCAAUGAAUGGCCCGUUCAGGAUUCGGGUAGGUUGCUUGAGCGUAUGUGUAAAUAUGCGCCUAGAUGAAUGAUUGUCCACGACAGAACCCGGCUUA